GCUGGGCAUGGUGGCGCAUGCCUGUAAUCCCAGCUACUCAGGAGGCUGAGGCAGGAGAAUCGCUUGAACCCAGGAGGCGGAGGUUGCAGUGAGCCGAGAUCAUACCACUGCACUUGAGCCUGGGUGACACAGCAAGACUCCGUCUCAA
rnacentral:SRP_RNA from 2 species